rnacentral:rRNA from 1 species
AUACGUAGGUGGCAAGCGUUGUCCGGAUUUAUUGGGCGUAAAGCGAGCGCAGGCGGUUUCUUAAGUCUGAUGUGAAAGCCCCCGGCUCAACCGGGGAGGGUCAUUGGAAACUGGGAGACUUGAGUGCAGAAGAGGAGAGUGGAAUUCCAUGUGUCGCGGUGAAAUGCGUAGAUAUAUGGAGGAACACCAGUGGCGAAGGCGACUCUCUGGUCUGUAACUGACGCUGAGGCUCGAAAGCGUGGGGAGCAAACAGGAUUAGAUACCCUGGUAGUCCACGCCGUAAACGAUGAGUGCUAAGUGUUGGAGGGUUUCCGCCCUUCAGUGCUGCAGCUAACGCAUUAAGCACUCCGCCUGGGGAGUACGACCGCAAGGUUGAAACUCAAAGGAAUUGACGGGG